rnacentral:tRNA from 1 species
GUUUUCGUGGUGUAGUGGUUAUCACAUUCGCCUAACACGUGAAAGGUCCCUGGUUCGAAGCCAGGCUGAAACA